rnacentral:rRNA from 1 species
GUAGUGACGACAAAUAACUCACGAUGUGCGUAAGCAUGUCUUGAAGGAAUGAGUAAGAAGCAAAGAGUCUUACGAAAUCAAUUGGAGGGCAAGUCUGGUGCCAGCAGCCGCGGUAAUUCCAGCUCCAAUAGUGUAUAUUAAAGUUGUUGUGAUUAAAACGCUCGUAGUUGAAAGUGAUAUAUAUCCAUUGUUCAAGUCGUGAGUACGACUCGUUUGUAUGAAUGAGUUGAACAGCAUAUAUGGAUAUAGUAAGGAAUGAUGAUACAUGAAUGUGUAUUGUUGUUAAUUACUUUGAAAAAAUUAGAGUGCUUAAAGCGAAUCUAUUAAAGAAUAGUGAAGCAUGGGACAAUAAAUGAAAUAGGAGAUCUACGGAUUUCGUAUUAGGAAGAAAGAUUAAGAGGAAUAAUUGGGGUAAUUCAGAAAAUAACGGGAGAGGUGAAAAUUCAUGAUCGUUAUAAGAUGAACUAGAGCGAAAGCAUUUUACUCAAUUAUGUUCAUUAAUCAAGAACGAAAGUUAGGGGAUCGAAGACGAUCAGAUACCGUCGUAGUCCUAACUAUAAACGAUGUCAACGAAGGAUUGGAUAAAUUUCACGAUAUUUAUCGUACAUCAGCUUUGCUGGAGUACGAGACGAUAUCAAAUACACCUUAUUCAGAACUUGAAGAGAAAUCUUGAGUUAUUGGACUUCAGGGGGAGUAUGGUCACAAGGCUGAAACUUAAAGGAAUUGACGGAAGGGCACACAAGGAGUGGAGCCUGCGGCUUAAUUUGACUCAACACGGGAAAACUUACCAAGACCGAACAUUAUGAGGAAUGACAGAUUAAGAGAUCUUUCAUGAUUUAAUGGUGAGUGGUGCAUGGCCGUUCUUAGUUGGUGGUAUGAAUUGUCAGGUUAAUUCCGGUAACGAACGAGACUGAAACCUAUUAAUUAGUUCUGUGCCUAUAAGACACAGGUGUUAGCAAUAACAGAUAGCAAUAUCACUUCUUAAAGGGACACAUUUCAAAUGUUCCUUGAUUAUCAAGGUUUGGAUUCUUUCCAACUUGAUAAACGAGGAAAAAAGAAACAGGAAGCAUUCAGCAAUAACAGGUCUGUGAUGCCCUUAGACAUCUUGGGCUGCACGCGCGCUACAAUGAAGAUAGUAGAGAGUAAUAUAUAUGAUGAACUCGUAAUUUUACAUUGUAAACAAUGAAGGUUAUAGAGGGAGUCAUAAACCGAAACCGUCAGGUGGAGGAAAACUUGAAGCAUCGUACAUGACUGGGAUAAAUGAUUGGAAUUAUUUGUUUUGAACGAGGAAUUCCUUGUAAUAUCACGUCAUCAACGUGAGAUGAAUACGUCCCUGCCCUUUGUACACACCGCCCGUCGCUCCUACCGAUUGAAUAAAGAGGUGAAAUUCUAAGAGAUGAUCAAUUAAUUGAUUAUUGAAUGGAUUUAAAUCUCCUUAUUUAGAGGAAGGAGAAGUCGUAACAAGGUUUCCGUAGGUGAACCUGCGGAA